rnacentral:misc_RNA from 1 species
UGAACCUUGAUGCAAUCAGAC